rnacentral:rRNA from 1 species
UACGGAGGGUGCAAGCGUUAUCCGGAUUCACUGGGUUUAAAGGGUGCGUAGGCGGCCAGGUAAGUCAGUGGUGAAAUCUCUGGGCUUAACUCAGAAACUGCCGUUGAUACUAUUUGUCUUGAAUAUCUUGGAGGUAAGCGGAAUAUGUCAUGUAGCGGUGAAAUGCUUAGAUAUGACAUAGAACACCGAUAGCGAAGGCAGCUUACUACAGGAAGAUUGACGCUGAGGCACGAAAGCGUGGGGAGCAAACAGG